UACAGAGGGUGCGAGAGUUAAUCGGAAUUACUGGGCGUAAAGGGUGCGUAGGUGGCGAGGCAAGUCGGAUGUGAAAUCCCGGGGCUUAACCCCGGAACUGCAUUCGAUACUGCCUUGCUCGAGUACUGGAGAGGAGACUGGAAUUUACGGUGUAGCAGUGAAAUGCGUAGAUAUCGUAAGGAAGACCAGUGGCGAAGGCGAGUCUCUGGACAGUUACUGACACUGAGGCACGAAGGCCAGGGGAGCAAACGGG
rnacentral:rRNA from 1 species